rnacentral:rRNA from 1 species
AUGAAUAUUCUGAAUGGGAGGGACAUGGAGAGGUCUGUGUAUGCUUCUUUGGUGGCGGAGAUCAAGCAUUUGAAGUCUCUUUGUAUGGCCCGUAUUACUCAUAUCAGCUGUUGUCAAAAUGUAGUUAGUGAUAUUUUAGCAAGUUUCGCAAAAACUGAAAGGAGAACUAUAGUCUGGCUCGGCUCCGCCCCCUCGAGGUCGUUGAUUUGUGUAAGGACGAGUGCAAGGUUGCUGCUUGAGUAA